rnacentral:rRNA from 1 species
UACGUAGGGGGCAAGCGUUGUCCGGAUUUAUUGGGUUUAAAGGGUGCGUAGGCGGCCUUAUAAGUCAGUGCUGAAAUCUCCCGGCUUAACCGGGAGGGUGGCAUUGAUACUGUAGGGCUUGAGUGUAGUCGAGGUAGGCGGAAUUGACGGUGUAGCGGUGAAAUGCUUAGAUAUCGUCAAGAACACCGAUAGUGUAGACAGCUUACUAGGCUACAACUGACGCUGAGGCACGAAAGUGUGGGGAUCAAACAGG